rnacentral:rRNA from 1 species
CCCCUCUUGUCAAUAUGGUCUCUCAAAGAGGAUUAGCCUGUUAUCCCUAAGGUAGCUUUUUCUGUUUAUCGUAUAACGGAUCUUAAUAGGGUUAUGUAAAGAGAAGUUUUAGUUUUUCUCUAGUUGCCCCAACUAAACUUUCUCCUGGAGGAUUGUAGGUUUAAGUAAAGCUCUAUAGGGUCUUUUCGUCUUUUUUGUUUACCCAAGUCUCUUCACUUGGAGGUCAGUUUUUAUGAAUAAAAUUGAGACAGGGAAGCUUUCGUAUAUUCGUUCAUUCCAGCCAUCAAUUAAACGGCAAAUGAUUAUGC